rnacentral:lncRNA from 1 species
GAGAGAGAGAGAGAGAGUGAUGGGUGGUAGGUGGUGGAUGACCUCGCUGUGCAUCCCUAGAGUCUAGGCCUGUGGCUCACAUGACUGACAUUCAUGGCAGACAAGUCACUAUAAGAGCAUUUUGAACGGUCUGUAUGUUCAAUCGUUGGUAUAAAUGUCUAUGUCAACAGCCAACAUCAUAUUAUACAAGCUCUUUAAUGGAGUGUAUGUUAACCGUAUGUAAAAUAACUAAGCGGG